ensembl:lncRNA
UUCAAUAAUCUGAACUCUUUGGAAGAUCUUAGCACAUAUUCUGCUUUUCACAAUUUUUACCUUUAGAAGGGUUAUUGCAGCUGGAAGAGAGGUGUGUCAAGGUGCAAGCUUUGCAGCACUAGAGCAAAAGGUCCCAGCUACUAGGCCUGUCUCAGUUUCUUGACUAUGCCCAUAUAAACAGGUUGAGCUCAAGAAGGGAGGAGUUGAAGUUGGGAAACUUCAAUAAUCUGAACUCUUUGGAAGAUCUUAGCACAUAGUCUGCUUUUCACAAUUUUUUUCCUUUGGAAGUGCUUGCAGGUG